rnacentral:rRNA from 1 species
GAUGAAGGCCCUCGGGUCGUAAACUGCUUUUAUGAGUGAAGAAUAUGACGGUAACUCAUGAAUAAGGGUCGGCUAACUACGUGCCAGCAGCCGCGGUCAUACGUAGGACCCAAGCGUUAUCCGGAGUGACUGGGCGUAAAGAGUUGCGUAGGUGGUUAGUAAAGUGAAUAGUGAAAUCUGGCGGCUCAACCGUACAGGCUAUUAUUCAAACUCACUAACUCGAGAAUGGUAGAGGUAACUGGAAUUUCUAGUGUAGGAGUGAAAUCCGUAGAUAUUAGAAGGAACACCAAUGGCGUAGGCAGGUUACUGGACCAUUUCUGACACUGAGGCACGAAAGCGUGGGGAGCGAACAGGAUUAGAUACCCUGGUAGUCC